GUGCUCACUUCGGCAGCACAUAUACUGAAAUUGGUACGAUGCAGAUUAGCACGGCCCCUGCACAAGGAUGCCACGCAAAUUCAUGAAGCUUCAGUAUCUUCA